AAAAGUCAUUUGAUAUUCCUUUAACAUAGCAGAUUUCAUUUUAUAGAUGCCUAUCCUUGUUGCCUAUGAGAAUUCAGUAGUCCACCUGUUUUGAGUACCGAUUGUGUGUCCCACCUUGUGGGUAAGAAAAAAAAGACAUCGUUCUUUGGUAUUUCCAUUUCAGGUAAGAAAAAAUGAGAUAAAUCCAUUUUAUUGUAAUCCUUACUAUCUGUACUUCUGUUUGGGACCUUGGUGUGUACUUGGAAAUAAUUUUAACUACUGUAGAAUCUUAAAUGUUCGUGUACUGAUACCUUUCACCUUCCUUUAGUCACUAAUCACUCCCAAGAGUAAUUGCUGUGUGCAUGAGUUUAUAAGUUAAUUGUAUUUUGCAUUCAUUCAUCAAACUUUUUACUUCUAGUGUCUCCUAUGAGGCAGCACCAUAGAUGUAUUAAAGAAAAGACUGGUCCUCCCAGUCUGGUGGGGGAGACAUAGAAGUCAACACACAAUGAUAAUGCAUAGAAUUGACAAAACAUGCUCAGUCUUUCCAGCAGCACAGAGGAGAGGAACCUAACUGGAUUGUGAAUGCAAAGGGCAGUGACUCUGCCAUAGUCACCUUGGUGCUUCCUGUGGGCAGCCGUGUGCCUACCAUGCAAGGAAUUUGCACAGAGGUCCAUAAGGGACCACGGACAAGAACGAUCGUGGCUGUAUUACCUGAUGUAUUGGAGAAUUAGAGGCAGCCUUGUUACCUAACACCUCGGGAAUGGAAGUGAAGUGUGGUAGAUGCCCCUUCUGAAACGCUGUGCAGUACUCAGAAGCAAUGAACUAGAAUAUGCUUGCCAAUCGCAACGAGGACAGAUCCUUAAAAAGAAUGUUGAGUGAAAAAAGUAGAAAAUAAGAUAAUCUCUAAAGUCCAGUAGCAUUAUUUAAACAUUUUUUAAAAAUACACUGAUAAAAAUGCUGUACAUUUCCCAAAAAUACAUAUGGAAGCACAGUAGCAUGAAUACUUAUGGGGUUGAGGAUAGGGGUUGGGAGUAGGGGUGGGGAUAAAGGGAGAAAAUAAAACCAGAUAGGAGUCUUACACAUUUCACGAACCAAGGAGUAUAAUUAUUUCAACUAUUUGUACCUGAAGUCCAGAAAGAGUGAAGGCAGAGGGGAGAGAAGAGGGCAAAGAAACGGUUUUGGGAGUGGGAUCCCAGAAGAAAGAUUUUCGUGAUGUGGUGCUACAUACGUUUUUCCAGGAUAUCUUAAGCUCUGCACCCUAUUUUUCUCACCACUAAUAUUAGAUUAAAUCCUUUGAAGACAGCAUCUGUGGUUUCUCUACUUCAGCUGUCCCUCCGUGUCUUGCACACAGUAGCUGUUUUACAAGGGUUGAACUGACUGGAAGUGAGAUUAUUCCUCGUUGUCUUAGAAGACAGAGAGUAGCCGUCUGUCCUUCCCUCAUCCAGAAACUUCUGCUCCACAUUUCCUUCCAAGCGUUAGUCCUCGGUUCUCCAUGCUUGGCUCCCUAGUCCCCCACCGUCCUUUCUGGGUGGCCUCUUCCCAUUCGCCCACUUCUUUCUCCUGGGUGUCUCCAUCUGCCCGCACUGUGGGACUCCUCCCAGCCUCUCAGGGGCACCGCUCCC